rnacentral:rRNA from 1 species
CUUAUAUACCAUACUACCCUAAACUCAUCCAGUCUCAUCUAAUCUCUGAAGCUAAGCAGUUUUGGACGUGAUUAAUACUUAGAUGGGUUACCACUUGAGAAUAUUAGGUGCUGUAUAUAGGC